UACGGAGGGAGCUAGCGUUGUUCGGAAUUACUGGGCGUAAAGCGCACGUAGGCGGCUUUGUAAGUUAGAGGUGAAAGCCCGGGGGCUCAACCCCCGGAAUUGCCUUUAAGACUGCAUCGCUUGAAUCCGGGAGAGGUGAGUGGAAUUCCGAGUGUAGAGGUGAAAUUCGUAGAUAUUCGGAAGAACACCAGUGGCGAAGGCGGUUCUCUGGGGACGGUACUGGACGCUGAGACGCGAAAGCGUGGGGAGCGAACAGG
rnacentral:rRNA from 1 species